UACGGAGGAUCCAAGCGUUAUCCGGAUUUAUUGGGUUUAAAGGGAGCGUAGGCGGCCUAUUAAGUCAGGGGUGAAAGACGGUGGCUCAACCAUCGCAGUGCCUUUGAUACUGACGGGCUUGAAUGUAGUUGAGGUAGGCGGAAUGUGACAAGUAGCGGUGAAAUGCAUAGAUAUGUCACAGAACACCGAUUGCGAAGGCAGCUUACUAAGCUAUGAUUGACGCUGAGGCUCGAAAGCGUGGGGAUCAAACAGG
rnacentral:rRNA from 1 species